GAUGAACGCUGGCGGCGUGCUUUAACACAUGCAAGUCGAGCGAAGCACUUGGAUUACUUCGGUUUGAAGAGUGACUGAGCGGCGGACGGGUGAGUAAACGCGUGGGUAACCUGCCUCAUACAGGGGGAUAACAGUUAGAAAUGACUGCUAAUACCGCAUAAGCGCACAGGACCGCAUGGUCUGGUGUGAAAAAACUCCGGUGGUAUGAGAUGGACCCGCGUUGGA
rnacentral:rRNA from 1 species